rnacentral:rRNA from 1 species
AGAGUUUGAUCCUUCCUCAGGACGAACGCUGGCGGCGUGCCUAACACAUGCAAGUCGAACGGAGAAUUUCAAUAAGCUUGCUUAACGAAAUUUUUAGUGUCCCACGGGUGAGUAACGCGUGGGUAAUCUACCCAUAAACCCGGGACAACCCUUGGAAACGAGGGCUAAUACCGGAUAAUCUUAAGGCUUGGCAUCAAGCUUUAAGAAAAGGUGGCCUCUGAAAAUGCUACCGAUUAUGGAUGGACCCGCGUCUGAUUAGCUAGUUGGUGGGGUAAAGGCCUACCAAGGCGACGAUCAGUAGCCGGCCUGAGAGGGUGAACGGCCACACUGGGACUGAGACACGGCCCAGACUCCUACGGGAGGCAGCAGUGGGGAAUCUUCCGCAAUGGACGAAAGUCUGACGGAGCAACGCCGCGUGUAUGAUGAAGGUCUUCGGAUUGUAAAGUACUGUCUUUGGGGAAGAACGGUAAUCUCGAAAAUAUUGAGGUUACAUGACGGUACCCAAGGAGGAAGCCCCGGCUAACUACGUGCCAGCAGCCGCGGUAAUACGUAGGGGGCAAGCGUUGUCCGGAAUUAUUGGGCGUAAAGGGCGCGUAGGCGGAUGUUUAAGUCCGGUGUGAAAGAUCAGGGCUCAACCCUGAGAGUGCAUCGGAAACUGGUUAUCUUGAGGACAGGAGAGGAAAGUGGAAUUCCACGUGUAGCGGUGAAAUGCGUAGAUAUGUGGAGGAACACCAGUGGCGAAGGCGACUUUCUGGACUG